rnacentral:lncRNA from 1 species
AAAAUUUCAUCAAUUUUGGAGCAUUUUGAAAUUUUUGAAUUUUGUGUUGUUUCCAUGGAAACGGCGGCCAUUUUGGAAAAUUCCAAAGUCGAAUACCAACUCUUGAUGUGCCACUUAACAUGUCUGUCAAUUUUCAGAAAGUUUGGAGCAAUUUGAAAUUUUUGGACAUUUCUGCUGUUUCCAUGGUAACGGUGACCAUUUCCAAAAUUCCAAAGACACCUACCACAUUGGCACAUGAUAAGGAACAUACCAUUAAAGUUUCAAUGGUUGGAUAUACCAUAUUAAGAGUUUAAAUACUACUUUAAGAUUUUCCCCAUAGGGUUUAAUGCUAAACAUAUUUAGUUUCCAUGGCAAUAUAGUAGUUCCAAAGAUUCCCAAAAUCAUCUCAAACCUGUAUAUGGUGGACACCAACAAUAUAUAAAAAUUUGAUGAUUUUCAGUUCAGGAAUAUUCAAAUUAUUCACCAAAAACCAAAAAAAUAUUUUUUACAUUUGUUCUGUUUCCAUGGUAACGGCGGCCAUCUUGCACAUGCCAAAGUCUGCUGCACAACUUCACAUGGUGUUCCACAUUGUGGUAUAAUUCCAUCAACAUUGGUCCAUUCAAUUCCGAGAAAUAGCGUGGACAAAAUGUGUGGAAGAAUAAAAAUAAUAAGAACUAGUAAUCCUGUGUUAGGAUGCUAACACAUAAGUCACCAAAACGGACCCCAAAUCAUUGUUUUACGGUAUCCAUGAUGCCACAUAACCUGUGUGUAAAGUUUGAUUAAAUUUAAAGGAUUUUGAUUUUUUUCACAUUUUUGCCGUUUCCAUGGUUACGGCGGCCAUUUUGGAAAUUUUAAAGUCAAAAGUAAUGUCUACAUAUGGCAGGCAACAUUUGUUUUAAGUUUCAUCAAUUUUGAAGCUUUUUGAAAAUUUUCACAUUUUUGGAGUUUCCAUGGCAACGGCGGCCAUUUUGGAAAUUUCGAACUCAAAAGUGAAGUCUACAUUAGCUUCACAACAUAUGUUAUAAGUUUCAUUUAAUUUGAAGCAUUUUGAUGUUUUUCUUAUUUUUGCUGUUUCCAUGGUAACGGCGGCCAUUUUGAAAAUUCCAAAGUGUCACUUCUGCUGCAAAUUGUUCACUCCAUAAUUAUAUACCAUCAUAUACCAUGAAAUGUCUCUAGAACAAAUUUAACAUUGAUGUUCUAGAAUAUUCCAUGAAAAUUCACCCCCCUCAAAUUAUGCCAUGGAGACCCCCUACUGAAAUAAAAUUAGUGCCAAGUUGAAGCAGACAUGUGUCUCUAAAUAUUCAUAAGAGAAUAUAUAAUUCCAUCUACUCUCCAUACAGUGGAAAAUUUAGAAAAUGUAAAAAAAAAUUAACCCCACCCAUCUUUGAGCCCCCCUAAUUAUGCCAAGAUGACACCCUGGUAUCAUGGACAUUGGGUUCUGCACCCCCCAUGAUGCAGACCCUUACCCAGAAAAAAUAUAAAAUUUCCAUCCUCCACUCCUUCCAAGAAAAUGGUAGGACCGUUUUAGGGGUUAGAAAAAGAAAAAUAAGAAUAAUAAUAAUAAUAAGAAACCGAACAAAAACAUAAGUCCCCAAAACUCCGUUUUGGUGACUUAACUAGAUUUGCCAUUGCAAGCAAUAGCGGAUGGCACCCUUCCCACAUUGCCAGGCGAGCGGCAGCAAUCUAGAAAAUUCCAAAGUCAAAGUGUGCAUCUACACAUUCAAAUUAUCAUAUUUGUUAAGUUUCAUUAAGUUUGGAGCAUUUUGAAGUUUUUGACAUUUUUGCUAUUUCCAUGGUUACGGCGGCCAUUUUGAAAAUUCCAACUUCAAAUGUCAACUUUGCUUAUGCCAGUGACCAUUCCUGUAAAGUUUCAUCCAGUUUACAGCAUUUUUAUUUUUUUUGAAAUUUUUGACCUUUUUGCAUUGUUUCCAUGGUAACAACAGAUAUUUUGGAAAUUCCAACGCCAAAUUCCACAUCUUCCAAUGUUGCUCAUCGUUACUGUGAAGUUUCAUGAAGUUUGGAGCAUUUUGAUAUUUUUGAAAUUUUUGGUAUAGUUUCCAUGGCAACAUAGUAGUUCCAAUGAGUGCCAAAAUCAUCCAACACCUGUAUAUGGCCGGCACCUACAUUGUAUCAAAAUAUAAUGGUUCUGAGUUUAAGCAUAUCAAAACAGUUCACCAAAACAAAAAACAGGAUUUUUUCACAUUUGUUUCGUUUCCAUGGCAACGGCAGCCAUCUUGAUGGUGCCAUACCCCACUGCACUAUAGAAUGUGGUGGUCUACAUUAUGGUAUAGUUCCAUCAAUAUUGUUCAAGCCAAUUCCGAGAAAUAGAAUGGACAAAAAAGUGUGGAAGAAUAAAAAUAAUAAUAAUAAUAAUAAGAAAAAAAGAAACGAACAAUAACAAUAUGUCACCCCAACUCCGUUGAGGGUGCCAUAAAAAAAGAAACGUAGAAUAACAAUAUGUCACCCCAACUCCGUUGAGGGUGCCAUAAAAAGAAACGUAGAAUAACAAUACGUCACCCCAACUCCGUUGAGGGUGCCAUAAUUA